UGGGGAAUUUUGGACAAUGGGCGAAAGCCUGAUCCAGCAAUGCCGCGUGUGUGAAGAAGGCCUUCGGGUUGUAAAGCACUUUUGUCCGGAAAGAAAUCCUUGGCUCUAAUACAGUCGGGGGAUGACGGUACCGGAAGAAUAAGCACCGGCUAACUACGUGCCAGCAGCCGCGGUAAUACGUAGGGUGCAAGCGUUAAUCGGAAUUACUGGGCGUAAAGCGUGCGCAGGCGGUUUGCUAAGACCGAUGUGAAAUCCCCGGGCUCAACCUGGGAACUGCAUUGGUGACUGGCAGGCUAGAGUAUGGCAGGAGGGGGGUAGAAUUCCACGUGUAGCAGUGAAAUGCGUAGAGAUGUGGAGGAAUACCGAUGGCGAAGGCAGCCCCAUGGGCCAAUACUGACGCUCAUGCACGAAAAGCGUGGGGGAGCAAAACAGGAUUAGAUACCCUGGGUAGUCCACGCCCUAAACGAUGUCAACUAGUUGUUGGGGAUUCAUUUCCUUAGUAACGUAGCUAACGCGUGAAGUUGACCGCCU
rnacentral:rRNA from 1 species